UACGUAGGGGGGCAAGCGUUGUCCGGAAUCAUCGGGGCGUAAAGAGCGUGUAGGCGGUCCGAUAAGUCCGCUCUGAAAGCCCGGGGCUCAACCCCCGGGAGGCGGGCGGAUACUGUCGGGCUAGAGUCCGGAAGAGGCAAGUGGAAUUCCUGGUGUAGCGGUGAAAUGCGUAGAUAUCCGGAGGAACACCGGUGGCGAAGGCGGCUUCCUGGACCGAUACUGACGCUGAGGCGCGAAAGCUAGGGGAGCAAACGGG
rnacentral:rRNA from 1 species